rnacentral:rRNA from 1 species
GGAACAAGAUGUCAUGGAGGGUGAGAACCCCGUCUGUGGCUCGGAUAUAAAUGAAGGGUGUGUCGUAUCUUCGAAGAGUCGGGUUGUUUGGGAAUGCAGCUCAAAAUGGGUGGUAAAUUUCAUCUAAGGCUAAAUAUUGGCGAGAGACCGAUAGCAAACAAGUAGAGUGAUCGAAAGAUGAAAAGUACUUUGAAAAGAGAGUGAAACAGUACGUGAAAUUGUUGAAAGGGAAGCGUUUGGCAUCAGCCCAUGGCACCCGUCGAUCAUCCAGGCUUCUGUCUGGUGCACUUGUCGGGUGUCGGGCCAGCGUCGACUUUGCCUGCUGGAUAAAGGCCUUGGGAAUGUGUCUCCCCUGGGAGAGUUACAGCCCUUGGUGUCAUGCAGUGUGGUGGGGUCGUGGUCCGCGGUUUAUCCUAGGACGCUGGCGUAAUGGUUCCAAGCGACCCGUCUUGAAACACGGACCAAGGAGUCUAACAUCUAUGCGAGUGUUUGGGUGUCAAGCCCGUCCGCGCAAUGAAAGUGAAUGCAGGCGGGAGCCUUUAGAGGGCGCACCGCCGA